UUAUCCCGGAUGAAUAAGCAUAUCAAUAAGCGGAGGAAAAGAAACCAACAGGGAUUGCCCUAGUAACGGCGAGUGAAGCGGCAACAGCUCAAAUUUGAAAUCUGGCUUCGGCCCGAGUUGUAAUUUGCAGAGGAAGCUUUAGGCGCGGCACCUUCUGAGUCCCCUGGAACGGGGCGCCAUAGAGGGUGAGAGCCCCGUAUAGUUGGAUGCCUAGCCUGUGUAAAGCUCCUUCGACGAGUCGAGUAGUUUGGGAAUGCUGCUCAAAAUGGGAGGUAAAUUUCUUCUAAAGCUAAAUACCGGCCAGAGACCGAUAGCGCACAAGUAGAGUGAUCGAAAGAUGAAAAGCACUUUGAAAAGAGGGUUAAAUAGCACGUGAAAUUGUUGAAAGGGAAGCGCUUGUGACCAGACUUGCGCCGGGCGGAUCAUCCGGUGUUCUCACCGGUGCACUCCGCCCGGCUCAGGCCAGCAUCGGUUCUCGCGGGGGGAUAAAGGUCCUGGGAACGUAGCUCCUCCGGGAGUGUUAUAGCCCGGGGCGUAAUGCCCUCGCGGGGACCGAGGUUCGCGCAUCUGCAAGGAUGCUGGCGUAAUGGUCAUCAGCGACCCGUCUUGAACCACGGACCCA
rnacentral:rRNA from 1 species